AUUAGCGUUAAUGGCAGCAAAGAAGCAAGUUUGAAGUUUUGAAUAAGUGCAAAAAGAAAAUAGACAAAAGCCAAAAUGAUAAAAAGAGAAAAAAAAGAGUAAAGCCACUUAAAUUUGAUAACCAAAAUUACACUCGCUAUGCUGUUAAAGGAACGGCGUUUGGUGAGACCAACACGUCUCUAUCUUCAAUUUCUCUCAGUUACUUUCACUUCAGCUAUGACAUCUGAUCUAAGGUAAUUUUGAAUCAUUGCAAUAGCGUUAUGAUGGAAACACACCUCAUCUAUGAACGCAAAUUUAAAUACUUAAGAAGAAGAAUAGAGAGAGAAAUGGAAAGAGGCAGGUGAAAGAGUAAUCAAAGAGAGAAAAAAAAAAAAAAAAGGAAAGAACAAAUCAUACAAUCCACACUUCCACCCAGCAUGGAAAAAUACUCGGUGUUGCCCAAAAUGAAAAUCAGUAUAAAAGGACCAGAAUUGUUCCGAAUGAAGGAGAGAAAAGACGAAAGUAAGAUAAAGGAAACAGCACCAAAUAUUUAAGAAUACAAUAUAACAUCAAAUAGACAACAAGAGAAAAGCAGAGAAUUUCUAAAGAUUUAAUUCUUGUUUUAGUAAAACAAUCAGUUCGAACAAGAAAACCUCUUGAAAAUUUUUCAGUAUCAUUGUUAUGAAACCAGAGAAGACAGGGAGCUGGCAGAAUCAUUAUCACGCUGGGCAAAAUGCUUAGCAGCAUUUCGUCCGUCUUCACGUUCUAUCCGCCGAGGUCGACUUUUCAUCCUUUCGGAGUCGAACGAAUAAGAACCAGUUGAGCACUAGGGUCAAUGUAAUCGACUAGCUCCCUCCCACCCUCAGAAUUUCAGGCCUUGUAGAAAGGAUUAUUAUAAAACCAGAGUCAAAUACUGCAUUCGCUUACAAAGGGAAGGAAAGCUAAAAAUAAAUAAAUAAAUAAAUACCAGUUUUUGACAAUACGAAGAAAAAACCUCAGAAUUACAGAUUGAUUGUAACGCGCAUUUCGGCUUAUUAUCAGGUAAACAAAAAGUAGUGACAAGUGUUUUUCUUUUAUGCUUUAGAGAUCCACUAUUGGUAAAUUAAGUCAUAACUGAAUAUAGGAAAACAUUUACUUGGACAAACUAUAAAAAGAAAUCAGUCGAUAAUAUUACACUAAGAUAUGUUGCAGUACGGGUAAUUUAACUGCUAUUAGAUACAUUGUAAUAAGGAAAGCAAUUACCUAUCUGUAAAAAAAAAAUCCUCAUUAACCGAAUAAUGUUCCAGCAUCACAUCCGUUCUUCUCCAUUCCUCUGUUUGAUCUUAACAUCUCAACCUCCUAUGUUAAACCAUAGCAGUUGUGAUCAAAUGUCAUCCACUUAUGCACAGCUAACUUUAAAAAUAUCUUAUCAAAGAUGAUAACCAGUUAGUCAACUUGUAAUGAAUAGCACAGAGUUUUAGCAAGGAUAACUGUAUGAAACUUACAACAGAAAAAUGUGCAAAGGCUACACUCAAGAGAUGAAAGCUUAUGAAGAAAUAUAAUGUAUGUGAAGUUAGGAUUUUAGAAAACUAACAACCCUACAAGUAUCUAAGAAUCAAUUAACUCAACGUGACACAAUAUUUUAGAAUGAAAAAGAAAAGCAAGCAAGAAUAUUACUGACAGUGUCGACUGGUACACAUGACAGAGAUAAGUUCCAAGAAAAGCAGAACAAAAUUCUAAGAAAAACAGAAGUGAAUGCCAAGAGAAAAAGACGUAAUACGUAAACGCAUAAUGUUAAUGCAAUCGUUUAAAUGAUUUGACUUUGAUAUAAUUAUAAAAAAAAAUUGUGAGAAACAGGAAAAAAACAAGAAAAUGAAUGGCUGUGUUUAGAACACACCAUCUCUACCAAAGAGGAAGAUCCAAAGUGGUCACUCGACGUGCUAAAAAUAACAGCUAAAUUUACCUCAUAAUAAAAUCUGAAAUUGAGAUGAACUAGUCAUUUCGGAUGUUGGCACACUGGAUUAAACAAAAAUGACAAAAGCAACAGUAAGAACGCUGACAGAUCAUAUUUAGCUGGACAGAAGGCGUGAAGUCACUAAUACUGUAAUAAUCACUAAAAAGAUAUAUCUCUUGUAGGUUUUAAUAAAUACAUAGGAGGAAAUACAGUAUAUUAACACAAAAGAUUAAGAAGCACGCUAAAUAUAAGAAAUUAAUGUCUAAUUCAAAGAGACUGAUAAAUUUUAAUAACGAAGCUGGGAUUCGAAAGAAGUUACUACGUAACUAACGCCAAUUGCUGCAGAUGCAUCUGGGAAUAUCUAUACUAUUAUACAGAAAGCUGCUUAUCAGUUAGUUAAGAGUAUGUAACUUUUAGUAAAAGAAAGCAAUUAUUAGUCCACCCUAUCUAAAAAGUCUUCUUAGUUCCAUUUUUAAUGAAUAUUUAAUAAAAUGUUUUUACUAUUUUUA